GGUUACUGCUAUCGGUGUUCGCCUAAGCCAUGCGAGUCAUAUGUUCUUCGUGAACAUGGCGUACUGCUCAGUAACACGUGGAUAACCUGCCCUUGGGUCUGGGAUAACCCCGGGAAACUGGGGAUAAUACCGGAUAACGCAUAUAUGCUGGAAUGCUUUAUGCGUAAAAUGGAUUCGUCUGCCCAAGGAUGGGUCUGCGGCCUAUCAGGUAGUAGUGGGUGUAAUGUACCUACUAGCCUACAACGGGUACGGGUUGUGAGAGCAAGAGCCCGGAGAUGGAUUCUGAGACAUGAAUCCAGGCCCUACGGGGCGCAGCAGGCGCGAAAACUUUACAAUGCGGGAAACCGUGAUAAGGGGACACCGAGUGCCAGCAUCAUAUGUUGGCUGUCCAGAUGUGUAAAAUACAUCUGUUAGCAAGGGCCGGGCAAGACCGGUGCCAGCCGCCGCGGUAACACCGGCGGCCCGAGUGGUGAUCGUGAUUAUUGGGUCUAAAGGGUCCGUAGCCGGUUUGGUCAGUCCUCCGGGAAAUCUGACGGCUCAACCGUUAGGCUUUCGGUGGAUACUGCCAGACUUGGAACCGGGAGAGGUAAGAGGUACUACAGGGGUAGGAGUGAAAUCUUGUAAUCCCUGUGAGACCACCUGUGGCGAAGGCGUCUUACCAGAACGGGUUCGACGGUGAGGGACGAAAGCUGGGGGCACGAACCGGAUUAGAUACCCGGGUAGUCCCAGCCGUAAACGAUGCUCGCUAGGUGUCAGGCAUGGCGCGACCGUGUCUGGUGCCGCAGGGAAGCCGUGAAGCGAGCCACCUGGGAAGUACGGCCGCAAGGCUGAAACUUAAAGGAAUUGGCGGGGGAGCACAACAACGGGUGGAGCCUGCGGUUU
rnacentral:rRNA from 1 species